rnacentral:rRNA from 1 species
UACAGAGGUCCCGAGCGUUGUUCGGAUUCAUUGGGCGUAAAGGGUGCGUAGGUGGCGAAGUAAGUUGGAUGUGAAAUCCUGGGGCUUAACCUCAGAAUUGCAUUCAAUACUGCUUAGCUAGAGAGCUGUAGAGGAGACUGGAAUUUACGGUGUAGCAGUGAAAUGCGUAGAUAUCGUAAGGAACGCCAGUGGCGAAAGCGAGUCUCUGGGCAGCAUCUGACACUGAGCACGAAGGCCAGGGGAGCAAACGGG